AGUGAACGCUGGCGGUAGGCCUAACACAUGCAAGUCGAACGGCAGCACAGUAAGAGCUUGCUCUUACGGGUGGCGAGUGGCGGACGGGUGAGGAAUACAUCGGAAUCUACUUUUUCGUGGGGGAUAACGUAGGGAAACUUACGCUAAUACCGCAUACGACCUACGGGUGAAAGCAGGGGAUCUUCGGACCUUGCGCGAUUGAAUGAGCCGAUGUCGGAUUAGCUAGUUGGCGGGGUAAAGGCCCACCAAGGCGACGAUCCGUAGCUGGUCUGAGAGGAUGAUAAGCCACACUGGAACUGAGACACGGUCCAGACUCCUACGGGAGGCAGCAGUGGGGAAUAUUGGACAAUGGGCGCAAGCCUGAUCCAGCCAUACCGCGUGGGUGAAGAAGGCCUUCGGGUUGUAAAGCCCUUUUGUUGGGAAAGAAAAGCAGCAGGUUAAUACCCCGCUGUUCUGACGGUACCCAAAGAAUAAACACCGGCUAACUUCGU
rnacentral:rRNA from 1 species